UACAGAGGUCUCAAGCGUUGUUCGGAUUCAUUGGGCGUAAAGGGUGCGUAGGUGGCGGGGUAAGUCAGGUGUGAAAUCUCGAGGCUCAACCUCGAAACUGCACUUGAUACUGCCUUGCUGGAGUACUGGAGAGGAGAUUGGAAUUUACGGUGUAGCAGUGAAAUGCGUAGAUAUCGUAAGGAAGACCAGUGGCGAAGGCGAGUCUCUGGACAGUUACUGACACUGAGGCACGAAGGCCAGGGGAGCAAACGGG
rnacentral:rRNA from 1 species